rnacentral:lncRNA from 1 species
AAGGAAAUUAGACUGACAGUUUGUGGGGGAAGGGGCCAACUGGGAGUGGCAGUUGGGUCUUGUGACUAGCACUUCCUUCCUGCCGUAGGGGACUUGCUUCUGGGUGUGGGAGAAGGAAGGAGCUUGUUCAGCCCAGUCUGGAGUGGCAUGCUCUUCUUGGUUCAGCUCGAAGAUUCAGGCCCAUUCAUCUCUGAAGAUGAGGAAACUGAGACAAAGAGGUUAAACAAGUUACCCAGAGUCAUACAGCUAAGCCAUUUGGCCAGGAUCAAGCACUCAGAAUUCAUUGGAUGGAUUUAGAAAAGGAAAAGGUCUACUUAUCAACUUUGACCAAGGAAUAUCUACAGAGAAGAUCUACCAAGAAGUUUUUCCCCAAACCUCUUGGGGCACAUUCUUUCUCAGACCAUCUCAUUCCCUAAGGAGAAUGAGCUCGACCUUAAAGCAGUUGCUACAAAGAACUGAUUCUCACCUCCCUCUCUCUUCCUCUCUCAACUCCAAGUUUGUUGAGCCCCUGGAUGAGUUGCAAAGACUGCCUGUAAGUUCCCUUUGAUCUACUGCUUUACUGGUACAAGUAGCUUUCUUAAUAUUUUGCUCCUUAGCUGUCUGCAAAAAUCUGUCAUGGACACCAGCUCCCAGACCUUCAGGCAACCUGAUCUCCUGAACUUUGGAAAUUCAUACAGUCAUAGCAGUCUUAUACUCUGUCAACCAAGAACAGAGAAGGAAGGAACAAAAUGACUUGUAUUUCAUUGGCCAUACUUCAG